GGUGGGGUCGCAUAGUGGUCUAGUGCGGCUGCUUGGAGAGCAGCUAUACCUCAAAAGGGUAUCGCGAGUUCAAAUCUCGCCCCCACCG
rfam:Parcubacteria (Wolfebacteria) bacterium GW2011_GWC1_43_10 TV58_C0006, whole genome shotgun sequence.